ACUACAAUUGUCUCGAUUCUGUUUUGUAUAUCCUUCUUGAAUUGGUUACCAAUUUUCAAUCAAUGGACAAAAAAAAAGGUUCAUAUGUAGCUGAAUGUGAGAAAAUUGGUCCUGCUUCCUUCAUCCAAGUGUGAACAGCAUAGGAGGUAUUUUUGAAAGGCGGUAUAAGAGAACAAGAAUAAAAAUAAUACAAGGAAAAUGAAGAGAAGGUGAUGGGAAAAGCAGCAAGCGGGAGAUUGAGAGACAUAAAAAAAUAAUGUAUAUAUGAUGCAUAGAGAAACAAUGGCUGCACUCAACACAAACGCAACUAAACCUGAUAGUAUUCGUGCAAACACAAGGAAAGAUGGAUAUAUAAAGAUUUAAGGUGUGAGUGGAGGGAAGGGAGAGAGAAACAACGUCCGCUAUCAUGUAUCAAAGCAAGUCUGGGGAAAAUCACAGAUCAAAAAUCAAAAUCUCCGUUUUUGACUGGCUCUAAAAGCCGUGAAGCCAACAUACGCCGCAACAACAAGAGCUAGGAACAUAAUGAUCUUAAACAAAAACCAUAACCAUCCACCACUGCCAUCAUCGCCACCCCUGUUAUAAGCGGCUCCCUUUCCGGCCUUGGAAUUUGUCUUCUUACCGGCGCCCCUGGAGAUGGGAACUUGGUCUGUGGGCGCCUUGUUGUAGAGCGAAUAGGUGUUGAUAGAUAUGAUGUCAUGGUUGUCGCUGAGUUCGCCAGUCUCGGCGGACACUCCGAGGUAGGCGACAGUGGGGAUGUUUAUAGAUUGCUCCUCAGAAGCUUCAACGGUGAAGCAAGAAGUCCAGGAGAGGUCUGAUUUAUAUUGCAGGUCGAGGGAG
rnacentral:sRNA from 1 species